rnacentral:rRNA from 1 species
GUCUACGGCCAUACCACCCUGAAGGCACCUGAUCUCUACUGAUCUCCUGAAGCUAAGCAGGGUCGGGCCUGGUUAGUACUUGGUUGGGAGACUGCCUGGGAAUACCAGGUGCUGUUGGCU